GACGAACGCUGGCGGCGUGCUUAACACAUGCAAGUCGAACGGAGUCCAGCCUUAGAGACCUUCGGGUCAAAGAGGGGAAGACUGAGUGGCGGACGGGUGAGUAACACGUGGGCAACCUGGCUCAUAGAGGGGGAUAACAGAGAGAAAUUUCUGCUAAUACCGCAUAAGCACACACUGCCGCAUGGCAGAGUGUGAAAAGAGAAUCGCUAUGAGAUGGACCCGCGUCUGAUUAGCCAGUUGGCAGGGUAAGAGCCUACCAAAGCGACGAUCAGUAGCCGAUUUGAGAGGAUGAACGGCCACAUUGGGACUGAGACACGGCCCAAACUCCUACGGGAGGCAGCAGUGGGGGGUAUUGCACAAUGGGGGGAACCCUGAUGCAGCGACGCCGCGUGAGUGAAGAAGUAUUUCGGUAUGUAAAGCUCUAUCAGCAGGGAAGAUAAUGACAGUACCUGAAUAAGAAGCCCCGGCUAACUACGUG
rnacentral:rRNA from 1 species